rnacentral:misc_RNA from 1 species
GAAGAAAUAUAUGCGAAUUUGAAUUUGAAUAUUGAUAUUUUCUAUUAGUUAAGCUUUGACUAUAUUAAAAAAAACUGAUAAUUUUUUUUAAUGGCAUAAAUGCCCUUGUUGUUUACCUCCUCGCCCUCUCACCCAAUAAAACCACCGCUACCUCCAAAAACCUAUAGUCCUCCCUCACUAACUCCAUGCUUGAGCCUCACCUCAACUUUUAACUUCUGCACGAUACAAAACCCUAAGUUCAGUUGGCUUAGCAAUUGUGGGCGUCAAUUUGCCCACCAAAGUGCCAUUACCACACCGACAGAAA